CUCCCGCCCCGGGGCUCCUGCCCGGACGGCGGCCGCCGCCGCCUCGUCUUCCCCGAGGGCUCCGCGUCCGUCUCCGCAGCUCGGCCGGGAACCUGGGAACUCGGACGCAGAAGGACGCGCCCGAGCCAGGACCCGCCGCGGGGUCCCUCUGGUGGGCCGUGGCCGGGGAGAGGACGCGGGCCCUGGCGGUCGAAGACGGACGCAGCGCCCGGAAAGGCGAGCCAGGUCUCCGGCUCCUGGCGCUUCCUGUGAGCUGGCUCGGCGGGGUGCGUCGCCGGGGAGGGAGGGACUGGCCGUGGGGCGAGCAGCCGGGCGGGGAGUGGCUUCUGGGGGCCUUCGCCAGCGGAGGGCCCGCGAGGCCGCCCUCGGAGCGCCGCCAGGUACGUGCGUUUUCCUUGUUUCCCGCGCUCCCAGAGCGCACUCUCGGUAGGGAACGAAUAAAAUCCCGGCUGGUGUGUAAGAGCCUUUCGCUGCAAACGUGUCUUUCUGCGGGAUUCGGGGAGCCGCCGAACGCGGGGUAGACCCCGGCCCAAAGUGUUCCUGCAGCUUCCACCAGGGACCCUUCUCCACCCUCACCUUGGGCUCGGAGCGGGUGCCAGUUUGGAAAUGCUUGUCUCUUCUGCAGCUCCGAUU